AUUGAACGCUGGCGGCAGGCUUAACACAUGCAAGUCGAGCGGGGGAAGGUAGCUUGCUACCGGACCUAGCGGCGGACGGGUGAGUAAUGCUUAGGAAUCUGCCUAUUAGUGGGGGACAACAUCUCGAAAGGAAUGCUAAUACCGCAUACGUCCUAUGGGAGAAAGCAGGGGAUCUUCGGACCUUGCGCUAAUAGAUGAGCCUAAGUCGGAUUAGCUAGUUGGUGGGGUAAAGGCCUACCAAGGCGAGGAUCUGUAGCGGGUCUGAGAGGAUGAUACGACACACUGGGAAUGAGGCACGGCCCAGAAUACUACGGGAGGCAGCAGUGGGGAAUAUUGGAGAAUGGGGGGAAGCCUGAUCAAGCCAUGCCGCGUGUGUGAUGAAGGCCUUAUGGUUGUAAAGCACUUUAAGCGAGGAGGAGGCUACUUUAGUUAAUACCUAGAGAUAGUGGACGUUACUCGCAGAAUAAGCACCGGCUAACUCUGUGCCAGCCGCCGCCGUAA
rnacentral:rRNA from 1 species